rnacentral:rRNA from 1 species
AGACCCGAAACCCGGUGAUCUAGCCAUGGGCAGGUUGAAGGUUGGGUAACACUAACUGGAGGACCGAACCGACUAAUGUUGAAAAAUUAGCGGAUGACCUGUGGCUGGGGGUGAAAGGCCAAUCAAACCGGGAGAUAGCUGGUUCUCCCCGAAAGCUAUUUAGGUAGCGCCUCGUGAAUUCAUCUCCGGGGGUAGAGCACUGUUUCGGCUAGGGGGCCAUCCCGGCUUACCAACCCGAUGCAAACUGCGAAUACCGGAGAAUGUUAUCACGGGAGACACACGGCGGGUGCUAACGUCCGUCGUGAAGAGGGAAACAACCCAGACCGCCAGCUAAGGUCCCAAAGUCAUGGUUAAGUGGGAAACGAUGUGGGAAGGCCCAGACAGCCAGGAUGUUGGCUUAGAAGCAGCCAUCAUUUAAAGAAAGCGUAAUAGCUCACUGGUCGAGUCGGCCUGCGCGGAAGAUGUAACGGGGCUAAACCAUGCACCGAAGCUGCGGCAGCGAACGUAUCACUUAAAGCGAUUCAGCGGGUUACGAUUGACGGAGCGAAGCGACGUCAAAGCGUAUACAAAGUCGAGUCGGUUUAAGGAUACGUUCGUUGGGUAGGGGAGCGUUCUGUAAGCCUGCGAAGGUGGCCUGUGAGGGUUGCUGGAGGUAUCAGAAGUGCGAAUGCUGACAUAAGUAACGAUAAAGCGGGUGAAAAGCCCGCUCGCCGGAAGACCAAGGGUUCCUGUCCAACGUUAAUCGGGGCAGGGUGAGUCGACCCCUAAGGCGAGGCCGAAAGGCGUAGUCGAUGGGAAACGGGUUAAUAUUCCCGUACUUGGUGUUACUGCGAAGGGGGGACGGAGAAGGCUAUGUUGGCCGGGCGACGGUUGUCCCGGUUUAAGCGUGUAGGCUGGUUUUCCAGGCAAAUCCGGAAAAUCAAGGCUGAGGCGUGACGACGAGGCACUACGGUGCUGAAGCAACAAAUGCCCUGCUUCCAGGAAAAGCCUCUAAGCAUCAGGUAACACGAAAUCGUACCCCAAACCGACACAGGUGGUCAGGUAGAGAAUACCAAGGCGCUUGAGAGAACUCGGGUGAAGGAACUAGGCAAAAUGGUGCCGUAACUUCGGGAGAAGG